CCUACGGGGGGCAGCAGUGAGGAAUAUUGGUCAAUGGCCGUAAGGCUGAACCAGCCAAGUAGCGUGAGGGAAGACUGCCCUAUGGGUUGUAAACCUCUUUUAUGCGGGGAUAAAGGUGUCCACGUGUGGAUGUUUGCAGGUACCGCAUGAAUAAGGACCGGCUAAUUCCGUGCCAGCAGCCGCGGUAAUACGGAAGGUCCGGGCGUUAUCCGGAGUUCUUGGGUUUAAAGGGAGCGUAGGCCGGUCUCUAAGCGUGCCGGGAAAUUUUGUGGCUCAACCAUGGGAGGGCGGCGCGAACUGGGGGCCUUGAGUGCGCGGAAGGCAGUCGGAAUUCGUGGUGUAGCGGUGGAAUGCUUAGAUAUCACGAAGAACCCCGAUUGCGAAGGCAGCCUGCCGCAGCGUUACUGACGCUGAAGCUCGAAAGCGCGGGUAUCGAACAGGAUUAGAUACCCUGGUAGUC
rnacentral:rRNA from 1 species